rnacentral:rRNA from 1 species
GUGCAGCAGGCGCGAAAACUCCGCAAUGCGCGUAAGCGUGACGGGGCCACCCCGAGUGCCGUCCGCUGAGGAUGGCUUUUCCCCGGUCUAACCAGCCGGGGGAAUAAGGGGAGGGCAAGCCUGGUGUCAGCCGCCGCGGUAAUACCAGCUCCCCGAGUGGUUGGGACGAUUAUUGGGUCUAAAGCGUCCGUAGCCGGCCGAGGAAGUUCCCCGUUAAAUCCGGCGAUUCAAUCGUCGGGCUGCGGAGAGUACUCCUCGGCUUGGGGGCGGGGGAGGCCGGCGGUAGUCCCGGGGUAGGGGCGAAAUCCUAUAAUCCCGGGAGGACCACCAGUGGCGAAGGCGGCCGACUAAAACGCGCCCGACGGUGAGGGACGAAAGCUGGGGGAGCGAACGGGAUUAGAUAUGAAGUUGAGUUUUUACCAGCUUCACUAGAUACCCCGGUAGUCC